rnacentral:lncRNA from 1 species
UAGGGGUAAAAUGCAGUUUUUGGCUUAUCACUCAAAAACCAAAGCAUUUAGAGCAAAUCUGACAUGUCGUAAAAUUGUUUAUCAGGUCAAGAUCUAUCUGCAACAACAAAAGAAAGAGAGUUUUUAACGACCUCAGCUGGCUAUACAACCAUUGCACAAUCAAUAGAAUUUUGCAGAAAUCAUUAAUAGGAUAGAUUGCCCUUAUAUGAUAAUUUUUUAUUACCUUUUUUUUUUUGGCAACGUGGGGGGGGGGGGGGGGGUUACGCAACAACAAAACUACUUCACAACUUUCUCAUUUCUUUGCAUUUCUUGUUAGAUAAAUUUUACAAAAAUUCUCCCCUGAAACAACUGUCGAAUUUAAACAAACUUGUUUUAAAUCACCACUAGGAUAUCCGGGGACCAGCGUGCAUGAUGACCCUGCCUGCCCACAUGGCUGAAAUAAAACAUAGGUUUCAAAUGCACUUUUUAGUAUUAUAUCUCUGAAACUAAACGACAGUACAACAGUUGCAUUUAUCAUGCAACAAUUGUAAAUAAAAAUAUCAGGUGAGCGACACAGGGUCCUUGGACCCUCUAGUUAAAGUUUCUAUCUAUUCGUUAAACAAAAAAAAAACCUCCAUAAUUAGAAAAGGGAUGUCUUUCAUUUUAAAAUUAAGAAUUUCCUUGGUUUAAAUUAGGUUCCUAUUAGAUUGAAGACAUUAGAAAAAAAAGUCAUUAAAAACCAAAUAACUACCACGAUCAUACUACGAUCAUACCACGUUCAUAUCACGAUCUUAUUACGCUCUCAGCAAUAACGUCAAUAUCGUGUUCCAUAUAGAUAAUGUUCCAUUCAUUCUAUUUUUCAUUAAUGCGUAGAUUUCUCAGAAACAAGUCAUGCCACUAAAAUCUAACGGAACACGUACUUACAUUAUAGUGGAAAGAAAUAUUUGCCAUCUGUGUGCCAAAACAUCAAAUUCAUUUUCCUCUACUCGUCUCCCUCUGGAAAUUAUGUAGUUUGUUAUCGCUUGUUCUUGUUCUUUUGACAUUCCAUGUAUGAAAUAGGGCUUUAUCAAAUAUGUCCUCAACCCAAAUGCUUCGGAACCUAAUAGAAAGUGUGGCAUUUUCUGAUCAUCACUAGACAAUAGAUCCGGUUCUGGAAAUCCAAUUGUCCCAUCUUCUAAAUAUUCCUUCAGCUCAGAUGCAUUGUAUAUUUAGAACUGUACCCGCCAACAUCAAUAAAAACAACCUCGUAGUCAGCAUCAACCAAGGCCAGCAGUACCAGUGAGAAAAAAACACCUUGUAAUUGUGGUAAAGGGAUCCAGUUUUAUGUGGCCAUCUUAUAGCAACAUUAAUCAUAUACUUAGCAUGGAUAUGAUAGCUUUUG